rnacentral:rRNA from 1 species
GUACACUCCUACGGGAGGCAGCAGUGGGGAAUUUUGGACAAUGGGCGAAAGCCUGAUCCAGCAAUGCCGCGUGAGUGAAGAAGGCCUUCGGGUUGUAAAGCUCUUUUGUCAGGGAAGAAACGGUGAGAGCUAAUAUCUCUUGCUAAUGACGGUACCUGAAGAAUAAGCACCGGCUAACUACGUGCCAGCAGCCGCGGUAAUACGUAGGGUGCAAGCGUUAAUCGGAAUUACUGGGCGUAAAGCGUGCGCAGGCGGUUUUGUAAGUCUGAUGUGAAAUCCCCGGGCUCAACCUGGGAAUUGCAUUGGAGACGGCAAGGCUAGAAUCUGGCAGAGGGGGGUAGAAUUCCACGUGUAGCAGUGAAAUGCGUAGAUAUGUGGAGGAACACCGAUGGCGAAGGCAGCCCCCUGGGUCAAGAUUGACGCUCAUGCACGAAAGCGUGGGGAGCAAACAGGAUUAGAAACCCGGGUAGUCCCAUG